GAUGAACGCUAGCGGCAGGCCUAAUACAUGCAAGUCGAACAGAUAUAUGUUUUUCGGAAUAUAUAUUAGUGGCGCACGGGUGAGUAACACGUACAUAACUUGCCCUCAAGCGGGGGAUAGCCUUGGGAAACUGAGAGUAAUACCCCAUAGAAUUAUUGGACGGCAUCGUUUGAUAAUUAAAACUACGGUGUUUGGGGAUAGAUGUGCGUCUGAUUAGCUAGUUGGUGAGGUAACUGCUCACCAAGGCGACGAUCAGUAGGGGGCGUGAGAGCGUGGCCCCCCCACACGGGUACUGAGACACGGACCCGACUCCUACGGGAGGCAGCAGUAAGGAAUAUUGGUCAAUGGAGGGAACUCUGAACCAGCCAUGCCGCGUGAAGGAUAACGGCCCUCUGGGUUGUAAACGUUCUUUUGGUAGUGGGUCGGAAAAAACGGGAAAGUUUAUUCCU
rnacentral:rRNA from 1 species